GUAGGCGUCCACACCGCUGGACGGUGCACGGUUCUGCCGCGCGUCUGCGGCCCUCCGCCCCGCCCCGCUCCGAAAUCUCGCAUCGCAUCAAUGGAAGCUGUGCCCGUGCGUUGCGCUGCCUCCCCGCCCCUUCCAUGCUCCUCUCGCGCCCUUCCAUCCCCGUCGUGCUCCAUGCCCCAGCCUCCGCCAUCCCCGCCCCACGAGUCGUCCCCGUCCUCGGAAAUCUCGCCGCGCCCCCGCCCCAAAACCUCCCCUACCUCCCACCCAGAUCGGAGCACGUGGACCUCCCACAGUGCUGUGAUGGCUGGGGACACCGCGGAGGAGGGAUCCUCUCCAAGUCCUGUGACGCGGCGUUCCUCGAUGGAGGGGAUGACACGGAGGAGGGGUCCAUGGGGCGGUCGUGACCGCUGGCAAUCCGAAGGUCGGUGCUGCCCUCUCUUCGGCGAAAGCAACGGUGAGAACGAAACCCCCUCCACCCCUGUCCCAAGAUCCAGCACCCAAUCUCCACCGCGACCCACCACCAGGCGCCAUGUGUCCCUCUCCCUGAAACGCCGUCAUCGUGCUGGUGUGGCUACAUGACCACCCUCUUCUCCUCGCUCAAAUGUCAUCGUGAUGCCUGCGUGUGUCGUCGCCAUGCCCUUGCCCCUCUUCCUGAAAUGUGUUGUCGUGCUGGUGUGCGCCAGAUGGCCAUCCCCUUCUCCUCGCUCAAACGCCAUCGCGAUGCCUGCGCGCGUUGUUGCCAUACCCCUGCCCCUCUCUAAAAUGCUAUCGACGUGCUGUUGCGGGCCGCAGCACCAUCCCCUUCUCCCCGCUCAAAUGCUAUCGCGAUGCCUACACGCGUUGUCGCCAUGCAUGCUGGUGGAGCUGAGGGAGAAGUUGGCUAACAUGUACGAGGUGAAGGACCCAAACUGCAUUAUCGUCUUCAAGUUCUGCAUCCACUUUUUAGGCAGCAUGUCCACUUGAGGCGGGAAGUCCAUAGGUUUAGCUGCAUCUAUGACAACCUCGAUGCAGCCAAGAAAUUCGAGCCCAAUUACAGGCUUCUCAGGAGCAAUAAGCAAAUAUUGGUCACCCAUCUUCUAGCUGUUCUCUCUUAGGUGCUGACAGAGUAAGUGCUUUUGUUCUUUCAAAUGAAGUUUUGGCUAAGAACAUCACUAUUGUGGUCAGUAAGGUAUAUAUUAUGCACGUUUGUCUACCAAUAUAUAUGAAUUGUUAUUAUUGAGUAAAUUUUAAUGAAUUGUUAUUCAUUUCCAUGUGCAGUCUGAAACAAGGGUGUUUUUCCCAACACACAAAUUAACUAGAGUGAUGUUUAUCAUAUUGUGCAGUUUAGAAAAAAGUUGAUGAAUCUGGUGGUACUUUAGGGUUUCUUGAUCUGUAAUAAAACAAAAUGAAUGGGCUACCAUCUAUGUGUUCGAUUUGAAAAUCAUGAGGAAAUCACUUUAUUUGUUGCUUUUUAGCUUCCUGGCCUAAUUUAAAUGUUUUUAAGGCCUUUUAAGGUUAAAUUAUCUCUAAAAUGUCACAUUGAUUCUUUUAUAGAAGUUAGGAAAACUAUAUGCCAAAACAUACGGAACAUGUCACCUUGAGCCAAAAAUAUACUUUCUGUUUGCAUCAAGUGAACAUAUGAAACAUGUCAAUGAUACGGAGACCACGAGCUUCAUUUUGAAGUAGACCCACUAGCUGCAGUAUGUACAGAAUGCAUAUUUCUUUAAGUACAGAACCAUCGAAUAAUCAUUCUUUGUUGGUGCUCAUAUUGUUCAUUAAACACAAGUUAUCGUUGUUGAAUGCCCAAAUAUUAUAGGACUGAAUACAUAUUAGAAACAAAUAUUCAGAUACAAAAUGCAACUCCAAUGUUUUUUGCUACCACAUGUAGCCUAAGUAUUACGGGGGUUUAUCUUUACCUAGGGUACAAUUCAAAACUUCCAAGUUAUCUCACGUUGUAUAUAUUUGUCAUUUUAUAUUAUUGUUGAGAUUUUUCUCAAAACAAGUUAACUAUUGGAUUACUGUUCAUUAAAAUGUAGUUCUGUUUGGAAGGUUUGCUUCAAUAUCCCGAGGUAUGGCACCAUAGAACGCAUUAUGAUCAAGAAGCAGCUUCUGAAGACUAGAGAAGUUCCCAAGAGAUGCAGACAAUGCUCUUGUAAGCUGGUUGUUGGACAGGCUUAUCUGACCAAGGUUAGGAGCCGCAACACCGAUCACAGCUGGGAAUUCCUAGCAUUGAAGCCAAACACUUGAGCUUACCAUCUUGAUCAAUUUCCCAUUUUGCGCAGUAAUCCAAUGUUUCCAUCACCUUUCCUAUCAUUAGAUGUUCAACUGCAUCAAAAAAAUCUAAAAUCUGAAUAUCAUCAGAUGUUGAACUUCACUGAAAAUAAAAAAACUGAAUUCUAAAUCCAAAAACUUGUAGCAGGCACCGAGUGAUAGAACGAGUCCAAAACCCCCUUCCAUUUUCUACAAACUAACCCGCAGUCCACCCGCUCCAUAGAAACUGCCAUCGUCCGCGUCUUCUGCCCACCCGCUUCGAUGUGCAGCCACAAAAUCUUGAGCUUUGUGAAACCAAUUUUUUUUAGAUAAUGGAACAGAAAUAAGGUCCCAGCCUCUACACCAUCCAAGACAGCGUACACAGCGCCAGGCAUAGAAGCUGGAAUACAACUUGUCUCCUUCAGAUCUCCUUUGCUCGCCUAGAUCCGGAAGCUUAUAUUUAUGUAUUCUACAGCCUAAUUGACUCAUCCGCAGAUGGUAUGGCUUAAAGAAUUGUACUUUAUACUGUAGUAAAUUACCUUAUUGGCUGUCCAAUACCUCUACAUUGUGAUGCCUUCUCCAAAGAAAUUUGCAGCCAAAUAGACUAUUUACUACCCUGUUUGCUGUUUCGUCGUUCUGGUGGAGCUCUAGGGAAGAUAACACAAGUAAGGAAUGGCUACCUUGAGAUGACUCAGGAAUUUAUGCAAGAACUCUAGCAAUUUUAAACACGUCUCCUCUGGUUUGUAACUAAACAUGGUCCUUUUAUGUGUAUACUUUUUAGAGAGAAAAUUAUCUUGUAGUCUCAUUGUUUCAGUUUAUGGUCCAAUUUACAAUGGAUUCACUGUAAAUGGGAAAACAACUCGGUAGGAAUGCUUUUUUGAAUUAUAAAUUACUUCUAUUUCAUACGAUGCUUCUAGGUAUGUGAUGAGUCCUCCAAUCUGAGAAGCAGGGCAUGGUAAAGCACUCCAAGCUGCUCUUUCAUCGGGAAAUUUAUAGGUGACACUUGUGUCAUACAUUGAACUAUAGAGUCAAACAAAUUACAUAUUAUCCUUCAACAUUUUUCACCAGUGGGAACUGUAGUUAUUGCAUAGAAUAGAUGGUAUAUUAAUCGUUUGAGAGCCAAUGUUUACAUUAACUAUUAUGCAGAAGAAAAUUUAUGUUUUAUUUUAUAUCUAACUACACUUUGUUGCAGCUUGUAGGUACUGAUCGCUGCACAUUAAACUCCACACAGAUUGUCCAUGUUUCUUUCAGUCACCAUGAUUUAUCACUAGGUCAUUGUGUUUGUGGCCAACGAGUAUUGUUCUAACACCUUAUUUGAAUGCUAGGUGAGUCGAAUCUGCAACACCACAGGCUUGAAAGCGUGCCAUUGCUGUUCUACAUGAGAUUUUGAGACUGACAAUGGAGAGGCGAUUGACAUCUGAUAAGCUAGACAUAUUUCACAAUGAGUACAGGCUUCCAUGCAAGUUACUUCUUUGUUUGAUUGCAAACUGAACUUAAAUCAAAUACUUCAGUAUUGGUCUCUAGAGAGGAAGCUCUGCCAACCAUUACUAAUAACUGAGAAGGCAAAGAGUGCAUUAUGGACAACAUUCAAAUCACAAUCAGUGUUCUUAGUGAACUUGUUUCCUAUCCGCACAUGAUGGUGACCCUACUGCUAUUUUUAUUAAUCCAUCCAUACUAAUUGUACCUCUGUUACAUGUGCGAAUUAGUAUGUCAGUUUAACAACCUUUUCCCCUUAUGUUGUGCGGGAGACAGCAUUACAAUGUUUAGUAGCCUUUUCGACGUUUCCUCACACAAAGAUUUAUCCUGUGCGGCGAAAGGUUGUGCAGGCAGCAAUCAGAGCUCUCGACGAUAAGAAACGGGUUGUUCGUCAAGUGUCUGUCCGAUGCGGGCACACAUGGUGCGGACAUUUUACAAAUUUUGAAUCAGCUGCAUAGAGCAGUCAGGUAAUGACAUAUGUAAUCAGCUAUUUGAAUUGGUUAAGGAUUUUAGUGUAGGCGUCCACACCCUGGUGAAGCACGCCCCCGCCCGUAAUCCCUGCUCUCUCUAGCCCGCAUCAGCUGAUCUUUCUGCCGCCGCUUUGCCUUUUUUUCUUGAUUAUAAUAAAAAUGGAAUUAUCUACAACAAUUUUCUUGAUUACAGACACUUCGUUCAAACUUAUUUUUUCAUGGAAUCCAAAAAUAGCAGUAGCACUAAAUCUGACUUUCAUUUCUGCUUAUUUGUGUUGUACAUAGGAAUCCUUAUUCCCUUGACAUCUCUAAGGAUCAGUGCGAUGUGAUGGCAUCGGUCACAGUUCACUUGAAAACAGGAUUUAUUUUGAAAAAUUCUACAUUACCAAUAGUUUUUGUUCUUCUAGCAUAAUCUGAAUGCUUUCCUAAUUAACUGAGAGGAAAAUGGUAUUUGUUUUCUGGAAUAAAUUAGCAUGUUGCUAUAUCUCUGGGUGCCACAGACAAGCUAGAGGUGGAUAAUGUUAGUCUGGGUUGUUCGUUUUUUCACUAUGUUUCUAGAUAGUAGUUCUAAUUACAAGUGAGGACCUCAGGCUGAUUUAUGUCCCAGCAAUAAGUACAGUGCUUCUAACGAUCAUUUCAUUAGAUUUAUUAUAUGCAAAAAUAAUAGAGAAGAAUUUAACUACAAGGUUCGGUUAGUAAACACAAUAGAAAAGAUUUUUUGCUGAUUACUUGCCGUUGAUUUUGUAUAAACUGAACCAAUGGAAAUAAGUUGUGUACAAUUACAUUCCACUAUCACCAUUUGGUAUCUAAUUUUAUAACAACUGUGAUUUAUUUCCAUAUGUGAGAAUUAAUAAGUCUUUUUUCACUACGUUUCUAAAUAGUAGUUCCGAUUACAAGUGAGGAACUUAAGAUGAUUUAUGUCCCAGCAAUAAGCAAUAAGUACAGUGCCUCUAAUGAUCAUUUCAUUAGAUUUAUUAUAUGCAAAAAUAAUAGAGAACAAGGUUCGGUUAGUAAACAUAAUAGAAAAGAGUUUUCAUAACUUGUGUUCGUUAAAAAGAAUUUUUGUUGAUUACUUGUCGUUUCUUAUUAGUUGUUUACGUGCAUCUGUAAGGCUGCACGUAAGGCUCUAUCAUCUGUUCCUUGUACAUUGUGAUCCGGGUCGAGGAGAUCCUGAAGCCACUUGCUGCAGUCAUUGGUGCCACCAUCACACUGCUGGCGUGCAGAAACUCCUCUGUUGAUUUAAUCCUAUCUCCAUCAGUGAUAUAAAGGUACAAGUUGAAGUAGAAGACACGAAUAUGAUGCACCAAGUCAAGUCUGACGAUUUUGUAUGUCUCGGUUCCUUCUUGUCCUGGUGCAUAUGUGCUCUUCCAUUCAUUUCUGAUCUUCCGAGAAGAUAACAGAUCUAACUGGGGAUGCUUUCACCAUAGACGAGCUAUUCUUUAAUCAUUGAUUAUUGUGACUGUAACUUCUGAUUUCUCAAUUUUCUAUCUGAAGUUUGAGCUUCUGAA